UACGAAGGGGGCUAGCGUUGUUCGGAUUUACUGGGCGUAAAGCGCGCGUAGGCGGGUCACUAAGUCAGGGGUGAAAUCCCGAGGCUUAACCUCGGAACUGCCUUUGAUACUGAUGAACUGGAGAUCGGGAGAGGUUGGUGGAAUUCCGAGUGUAGAGGUGAAAUUCGUAGAUAUUCGGAGGAACACCAGAAGCGAAGGCGGCCAACUGGCCCGAUACUGACGCUGAGGCGCGAAAGCGUGGGGAGCAAACAGG
rnacentral:rRNA from 1 species